rnacentral:hammerhead_ribozyme from 1 species
GCACUGCUGACGAGUCCCAAAUGGGACGAAGUGGCUAUCCAGUGC